rnacentral:rRNA from 1 species
UACGGAGGGUGCAAGCGUUAUCCGGAUUCACUGGGCUUAAAGGGUGCGUAGGCGGAUAGGCAAGUUCGUGGUGAAAUCCUGCAGCUUAACUGCAGAACUGCCGUGGAUACUAUCUAUCUUGAAUGUCGUGGAGGUUAGCGGAAUAUGUCAUGUAGCGGUGAAAUGCUUAGAUAUGACAUAGAACACCCAUUGCGAAGGCAGCUAACUACGCGAUAAUUGACGCUGAUGCGCGAAAGCGUGGGGAUCGAACAGG